rfam:Aspergillus rambellii strain SRRC1468 contig01384, whole genome shotgun sequence.
UGACCUCGGAUCAGGUAGGGAUACCCGCUGAACUUAAGCAUAUCAAUAAGCGGAGGAAAAGAAACCAACCGGGAUUGCCCCAGUAACGGCGAGUGAAGCGGCAAGAGCUCAAAUUUGAAAUCUGGCCCCCCCGGGGUCCGAGUUGUAAUUUGCAGAGGAUGCUUCGGGUGCGGCCCCCGUCUAAGUGCCCUGGAACGGGCCGUCAGAGAGGGUGAGAAUCCCGUCUUGGGCGGGGUGUCCGUGCCCGUGUGAAGCUCCUUCGACGAGUCGAGUUGUUUGGGAAUGCAGCUCUAAAUGGGUGGUAAAUUUCAUCUAAAGCUAAAUACCGGCCGGAGACCGAUAGCGCACAAGUAGAGUGAUCGAAAGAUGAAAAGCACUUUGAAAAGAGAGUUAAACAGCACGUGAAAUUGUUGAAAGGGAAGCGCUUGCGACCAGACUCGCCCGCGGGGUUCCCCCGGCACUCGUGCCGGUGUACUUCCCCGUGGGUGGGCCAGCGUCGGUUUGGGCGGUCGGUCAAAGGCCCCCGGAAUGUAUCGCCCUUCGGGGUUGUCUUAUAGCCGGGGGUGCAAUGCGGCCAGCCCGGACCGAGGAACGCGCUUCGGCACGGACGCUGGCGUAAUGGUCGUAAACGACCCGUCUUGAAACACGGACCAAGGAGUCUAACAUCUACGCGAGUGUUCGGGUGUCAAACCCGUACGCGCAGUGAAAGCGAACGGAGGUGGGAGCCCCCCCGGGGGCGCACCAUCGACCGAUCCUGAUGUCUUCGGAUGGAUUUGAGUAGGAGCGUAGCUGUGGGGACCCGAAAG